UACCUGGAUCAGAAGAUCCGACUGCGCACAUCUCCCCAACUCCACAUUCAGUGACAUCACGUUGGCAGCUUGAAAUCAGCUGUUGGGAGUAUUUACACC